UACGGAGGGUGCAAGCGUUACUCGGAAUCACUGGGCGUAAAGAGCGCGUAGGCGGGAUAGCAAGUCAGAUGUGAAAUCCUAUGGCUUAACCAUAGAACUGCAUUUGAAACUGUUAUUCUAGAGUAUGGGAGAGGUAGGUGGAAUUCUUGGUGUAGCGGUGAAAUGCGUAGAUAUCAGGAGGAACACCGGUGGCGAAGGCGGCCUGCUGGACUGUAACUGACACUGAGGCUCGAAAGCGUGGGGAGCAAACAGG
rnacentral:rRNA from 1 species